rnacentral:rRNA from 1 species
UACGGAGGGUGCGAGCGUUGUUCGGAAUUACUGGGCGUAAAGCGUGCGCAGGCGGCCAUCCAAGUCAGUGGUGAAAGCCCGGAGCUCAACUCCAGAACUGCCUUUGAUACUGAGGAUCUUGAGUACGGGAGAGGUGAGUGGAACUGCGAGUGUAGAGGUGAAAUUCGUAGAUAUUCGCAAGAACACCAGUGGCGAAGGCGGCUCACUGGCCCGUAACUGACACUGAGAGACGAAAGCUAGGGGAGCAAAUGGG